UAAAAAAUUAUUCUAAAAAUCCCUUUAAAGACAUAGACACACCAAUGGCAAAAACUUCAGUGUUGUUUCCUUGCAUGGUGUUUUUAUUUCUGAUAAUAUUUGCAACAGGUUUCGUGGAUGCUUGUAACUACCCGUGUCAUGGCAUACAUGAUCGUUGUUAUAAUCUGCACUGUAACCAUCGUUGCACAAAGCUAUGCGUUAGCUCUUGCUGCCUUUGUGAUUGCAGAGGAAAUGAAAAACCUGAAAUAAAGAUGUAACAAUUUCAUGCCUUUGCUUCGAAUUUAUAAGUAAUAAGAGAAGUUGAAGUAAUAACAUGUUCAUUCUUCUUCA